CUUAUUGUAAUGUAAUUAUAAAAUUGUAACAUGUUGUAAUUUAUAGUUAAGCUUGUGUAAGCCCUCUGUACAAUCAUACAUUUUCAAUCAACUUUGCUGGAUUGUCCUUUUUUCUCCACAAAGACCUUGAGCAUGCAAAAACAUUCAUCAUGGACGAAUGACUCCCAAGCAGACUCAAGGCACGCCACCCCUACAACAUGGCAGCACAAGAGAUGCUCAAUUCCAUCCCUGAAGACAUCUCCAGAGAUGCCUGGCUGGCAGCAGCUUGGAAGCAGGAGUGGGAGGCAGCUGGCCCCUCCCUCAUGCACAGUUAUGUCUGGGAACCAGGAGACGGCGCCAUAGGAGGAGACGAACUACCUCGCCAGCAGUGGACCACACUGAACCGCUUAAGAACUGGUGUUGGGCGCUUCAACAUGUCUAGUGGGGUCUGGCGGACAGUGCGGCAUGCGAGUGCGGAGCCCUCGAGCAGACAGCCGACCACACCAUCAACACCUACACCAACAUAUAGACCACCCUCAGAGGCCGGCCUCUUCGACCUGGGACCAGAGAUGCUGGCGUGGCUCCACGACACCAAGUUGGAGCGCUGACGUUACACGAGAGAGAGAGAGAGAGAGAGAGAGAGAGAGAGAGAGAGAGAGAGAGAGAGAGAGAGAGAGAGAGAGAGAGAGAGAGAGAGAGAGACUCCCAAACCAGGGUGGCAAGAAGCAGGACUUCUCAUUCCUCUUUUUCUAUGUUGCGUGUGGCUCCACAUGCUCCAUUUGUAUAGACCAUUUGUUUGGCCACCUUGGUACUCAGCCUUGAUGAGACCUGGCCUGUCUCGCCAAAAAAAUGACCGACAUUUUAAGAAGAUCCAUGGGACCAGUGUUAUUCUCCUUUUCUAUUGACUCCAAGCAACAGCACAGGGAGAGCCAAGACUUUCCAAAAGACCUGUACAACGGAGGCCAGCAUCAUGAAACACAAACUCCCAAACCAGCACGGUAACAUGAAACACAAACUCCCAAACCAGCAUGGUAACACACAGGACUUCUUCUGAUUCUUCUUAUGUUCUUGGGUCUUGCCUGUGGUUCUACACGCAUCCAGAAAUGCAGACAAAGAACAGCUUGGCCUUUAACAGUCGGAAGCCUCUGAUUUUACUCUACUAAGCCUCAGAUACAGUCUGUUUUCUGUUCUCAUUCAGUCAUUCAUUCAUUCAUUCA